ACGUGCCUCGCCUUAUCUCUUCUGGGGGCUUACCAGAAACCCCAGUGUCACUCCUCGCAUCUCUGAUCUCUGGGCUCCUCAGCCCGACACCAUCGAAGCUUUGCCUCGGGAGCUCUCAGAGGCCUCGGAAUCGCGUCUCUCUUUUAAAAGCAUCCGAUCGGAUGUCUUUUAGAGGUCUUGUUCCGUGCUGUGUCAACAGCCGUGCGCCGUGAGGAUCCAUUGUUGCGGCUUAGGUCUUGAAGAAACGCAGAGAUAGGUAGGGGGCUGUGGCCCUCAGAUUCUCGGGCAUCCGUCUUGGCAGUUGCUGGAGUUUGUCAUUCCAUCAGCAUCUUCUUCCUCCCGGGUUCUGCGAGCUUCAUCAGCUCAUUCUCACCCGGCUCAUCUCGUUCCGCGUUCUCUCGGUCCUUGCGGCCGUUCUUGUGGCCCAGAGUUUUGUCUCCCCAUUGUGUCCCCUCGUCUGUUGUCUUGUGUGUCACGGGUGUCUGGGUGUAGUUGUCCCGGAGCUGCUCUGUCCUGCUGCCCAGCCUGGGUGUAGGUGUAAAAGGCCGAGUCCCAGGCCCCUGUAAUUUGAAAUUUGUGAUGUAGGGUGUAGUUGGAGUCUAGCGGGUGCUCCUAGAUUGACACAAGAUGUCUGGAGCUGUAAAGUUACCCUGCAGCACUUUGACUUUUGUCUCAGCUUUCUUUCAGAUGCGGACGGAUGAAAUCGGUGGCAGAGCGCCCCAUGCAGGGUAAGGGGGUUCCCGCGAGAAGGAAGUGAAGCCGGCUAGCAGCAGUCAAGGCGAAGUGGGCAAGGCGGUCCAGUCGCAUUUCGCCGAGAUCCCCUCCCCAACCGGCCGGCACAGCUGUUUCACCGCUCCCGUGAGCCCUGCGGAAGCGUUACGGAACCGUGUGACGGAGCCUUUUCCACGUAAAGGGGCCGUGUGGGUGGCCUU